ensembl:lincRNA Gm16158 predicted gene 16158
GGAGAGGGUCACAAUGGAAGGGUCUGUGAGUGUCAUUUUUUAAACAUUUUCAAGCCACAGUUACUUUGAAUUCUGGAAUCAGACUCCUCAGAUAGGACAGGCUAUCAGCACCGCAGCAAGACAAGCUGAUUUCUCGAGGCACUGAAGGCCAGGGAAAAUUCUGGCCAUGAAGUAGUAAAAUGACUUAACAUGUCACUAUUCUGUAAGGAAACCAAUCACAGAACCCCCAAACCAACUAAGAAAUGAAAACCAGCCUAUUGGCAAACUGCCUCCAAUGAGAAGUCCACCGGAAAAUGUCCAUUCAUUCUAUACAAAGGCACUUGUGUUUGUUUGAAAACUGACCAUGCUCCUUGGGAAUAAAGAGGCACAGUCUAUGAUACCCGGGUUGUAUGAGGAAAAUCUCAAAGGCAUGAUGCUGAGCAGAAGAACCCAGCCUCAAAAAGCUAAAUGAUGCACGGUUCCACUUCCAUGAUUGUCUUAAAAAGACAAAAUCACGAAACUCAGAAACUACAGUGAUGGGAAGGUAAGCAGUGGUUGCCGGGACAUGGGUAACAAGAACAGAGGUGGGCUGACUCUAGGGGGAUUGUGUGAAGUGGGGGCAGCUGAGGGAGUUGGGAAUUGCGCCUUACUUCGUUUUUACCGUACAAGGAUUAAAACUGGCAAUACUAUAAAGCCCAGAGGGUUUUUUUUUUCUGUUCAUCUUUCAAAUUAUAUUUAAAGGCUUGUGUGCACGAGAGAAAGAUGAGAGAGAGAAAGAGAGAGA